UGUAGACGUGCGGGGAGGAACGUCCAGUGGACAACCUUGCUGCGGCUCGGGAUGAAGCAGCCACGAGCUUCCUCCUCCUCCGGCUUCAGGGAGUGAAAGCAUCCAGUUGGGGUGGUUUGCAGCUCUGGUCGCCUCCAGCAGCACUACAUAAUCAAAGUUCCAAACAAUAGUACUGCACUGCUACCUCCAGCCAACCACAACAUAAUCAUUGCUGCACGCACCACUUGUUGUAGGGGGACACCAUGGAAGGUGUACAAAAUUAGCAAUGGAUCUCUAGGCUGGUGAUGACCAUGUAAAUUCGUUUCAGUGGAUUUGGGGCUGUACGUUUGUUCCAAAGCAUGGCUAUGUCAUAUAUUGUGGCGUCUGGAUUAGUAAACACUCAUGCCGGCAUAUUUUCAGAAUCAUAACAGGGACGUAGUUUGCUACAGUUCUAAGUUAUGAUCCUAAAUUUAAACUUGAUGGUGCUCAAAUUAAAGUACAUUUUGGGCAGUGUAAUACAACACUUGCGAAAACUGAAGAUUUGGUACAGAGUCGCAAAAACUGCAAAACUAUUGGUAAUGCAGAAAAAAUAUAUUGCAUGGCCUUCAACCUUUGUACGUGUCUAAUAUCCUGCCUUUAUCACUACUUGCAUCAUGUCAAUGCAUUAUGUGUUAACAAUUCAUUUUGUUAUUU